GAAAGAACUUGAACCAUGGAACCAUGGAAAAAUAUUCUUCAUUAAUUAGUUGUUUUUAAAGAGAACUCAAAUUGUUCUUAGAAGUUAACAUGUCAUCUCCCACUACCAUAUAAUUGGACCUGUUCUGUCCUAUGCCAGGAAUGCUCUCCCCUCCUUUUCUCCACCUUUCAUAAGCUUUGUCUUCCAUAAAGGCCCAAGACAAAGAUCUCCUUCAUGGCAAACUUCCUUGAUCAAGACCCUGCCCUCCCACACCCAACUUCCCGCCAUCAGUCGUCGCCAUUUAUUGUGAUUCUGUGCUCUGCAGAGGCCUCUCCUAAGCACCUGGGGGGAACUGCAAAGGAAAGGUUGGUUGAACACGGGCUCUUUUAUUUUGGUGGGGGGAGGUUUCCCAGGAGAAGUGCAGUGGCUAAGUGGAUAUCAGAAAAUCCUACCAUAUCUGAAAACAGAGGAAGGGGAUUUCCUCUUUAAAAACAUCUU